AAAAAUAAUGCAAUUGUUCUCAUAUUUUUAGGGUUAAAAAUGAAAGAGUUAUGAAUUUUUGAAAUAAAAGGAAAUAAAAGAAACUAAAAUAGAAAAUCAGAAAAUAGAAAAAUCAUGGUGCGAUAGAUCUGAUCUCAUUAAAUGACAUGGCACAUCAGAUGGCUCUCAAGCGCACGCUCACCAAAGGCAUUGGGUCAAAGGAGACACACACAUCAUUAUUAAAAGUCAUAACAACCAAG
rnacentral:lncRNA from 1 species